rnacentral:rRNA from 1 species
CAGCAGCCGCGGUAAUACGUAGGUCCCGAGCGUUGUCCGGAUUUAUUGGGCGUAAAGCGAGCGCAGGCGGUUAGAUAAGUCUGAUGUGAAAGCCCACGGCUCAACCGUGGAGGGUCAUUGGAAACUGUUAAACUUGAGUGCAGGAGAGAAAAGUGGAAUUCCUAGUGUAGCGGUGAAAUGCGUAGAGAUUAGGAGGAACACCAGUGGCGAAGGCGGCUUUUUGGCCUGUAACUGACACUGAGGCGCGAAUGCGCGGGGAGCAAACAGGAUUAGAUACCCCGGUAGUCCCUGUCUCUUAUAC